rnacentral:tRNA from 1 species
UGGUUAAGUUGGAAAACGUUUGAUUUUUACUGGGUCUUGGUUCAAAUAGGUCGUGGGUUCGAACCCCAC